rnacentral:tRNA from 1 species
GCCUUCGUGGUGUAGUGGUCAGCACGCUCGACGCGAAACCGAGAGGUCCGUGGUUCGAUUCCCGGCGAAGGCG